rnacentral:lncRNA from 1 species
UGUCACAUGAUAUUCGUUAGAGACACGGGAACAGCUCCGCCCUCUUCUUGGCACACCUGACUUGCUCGGUUGCCUCCUGGACCAGACAAGAGUCCUGCCCACUCCUGCACAGGUGGUCGCUCCCCAAGGUAAGAGAUUUUUCAAACAUCCAAAGGAUCACAAAGGUAAGCACAGUAUUAAAAUGAGUCCCCAUCUUCCAUUUGCACAUUGGUGUCUCCUGGACCAAGCUACCAAAAUUUGAACACACCAGGAAACCAAAACAAACAAAAAAGAAAAAAAAAAAGCAAAAUGUUUUCAAUCGAAUUUUUCUUGGUGGGUUAAUAAAAAAAUCUUAACCUCUGAAGUUUUCUUUACUUAUUUAAAUAAUUUUGCCCAUUAGUUAUUUCUGGAAGUGUACAUGAAGACAUAUGAUAGAAUUACCUAAAAUUGCUAUUUAAUGAGCAGCAGAUUCAAUCUAUUAAUAUGCAAAUAGAAGCAGAGUUCCCAACAAGCAAAGGUGCUUGUUUGAUGUGCUAAAAAAUGACAAAAACAAACAAAAAAAGUUACGGUACUUGUUUGCAAAGAAUUUAUAGUUUUGUCUGUGGGUAAGACAUGCAGAUAACUAACCCUAGUGCUGUACUCACCAUAAGCACCAUCGGAGAGAUGUGAACAAGACAAUGUUACCACACAUCCUUUUAGGGGAUUAUUUAAUGCAUAGAAAUAAUUCAUAAAACAUAUUAGAAUUAAUCUAACAUUUAAAAGCUAUUCUGGGAAGAACAUCUUAACAUUAUGAAUUAAACCAAAACUUAAUCUCAUUCUCAAUAUAUACUGAAAGCUUCCUAAAGACAAUAUAGAGGAUUUGAAAGGAAAAAAAAACCUAUUAAAAAGACAUUUUGUUAAGUAACACAAUUUAUGUUAUGCCAUUUUCAGGAUAUGAAUUUUUGUUUCAGUAUUUUUGAAAACUUGUCUUGAGAGUCCCUUGGACUGCAAGGAGAUCCAACCAGUCCAUCCUAAAUGAAAUCAGUCCUGAAUAUUCAUUGGAAGGACUGAUGCUGAAGCUGAAACUCCAAUACUUUGGCCACCUGAUGCGAAGAGCUGACUCAUUUGAAAAGCCUCUGAUGCUGGGAAAGAUUGAAGGCAGGA